rnacentral:rRNA from 1 species
AUACGGAGGAUCCGAGCGUUACCCGGAUUUAUUGGGUUUAAAGGGUGCGCAGGCGGCCAUUUAAGUCAGCGGUUAAAUCGUGGGGCUCAACCCCAUUCUGCCGUUGAUACUGGGUGGCUUGAUUGCGGUCGAGGUUGGCGGAAUUCGUUGUGUAGCGGUGAAAUGCAUAGAUAUGACGAAGAACACCGAUUGCGUAGGCAGCUGACCAGACCGCAAAUGACGCUCAUGCACGAAAGUGCGGGGAUCGAACAGGAUUAGAUACCCUGGUAGUCCGCACAGUAAACGAUGAAUACUUGUUUUCGGCGAUAUAAUGUCGGAGGCAAAGCGAAAGCGAUAAGUAUUCCACCUGGGGAGUACGCCGGCAACGGUGAAACUCAAAGGAAUUGACGGGG